rnacentral:lncRNA from 1 species
GCUGUGAGCAGACGAGCAGAGGAGCUCUGAGUCAGCAGGACCUGGACAGGUUCUGGGCUUCGAGGAAUGGAGGGACACCCUGGCUUCCCACAGCCUGGGUGUAGGUGGCAUCCUCUGACAGCAAGUUCCUGCUCUGCCACUGGCUGGCAUCUACUUCUGCACCUCAGUUUCCCACCUGUCAAAGGUCCAGGCAUCUCUCUGGGCUGCUGUCCUUCAUGGGGUGACUCAGCUCUCCAUGCUGCUUUGAUCUUGAGGAUCCAUCAUCUCAAAAGCCGCUUUCUUGGUUGCUGCAGCAGCUGGAAGGUCACGAAUCAGCUUUUGUAUGCUUUGGCCAGGAAGUGACUAUUUCACUUCCAUCCACAGCUC